rnacentral:rRNA from 1 species
GAUGAACGCUGGCGGCGUGCCUAAUACAUGCAAGUCGAGCGAACAGAUAAGGAGCUUGCUCCUUUGACGUUAGCGGCGGACGGGUGAGUAACACGUGGGUAACCUACCUAUAAGACUGGGAUAACUUCGGGAAACCGGAGCUAAUACCGGAUAACAUUUGGAACCGCAUGGUUCUAAAGUGAAAGAUGGUUUUGCUAUCACUUAUAGAUGGACCCGCGCCGUAUUAGCUAGUUGGUAAGGUAACGGCUUACCAAGGCAACGAUUCGUAGCCGACCUGGGAGGGUGGUAGGCCACAUGGGAACGGGGACACGGUCCAGACUCCUAAGGGAGGGAGCAGUAGGGAAUCGUCCGCAAUGGGCGAAAGCCUGACGGAGCAACGCCGCGUGAGUGAUGAAGGGGUUCGGCUCGGAAAACUCGGUUAUUAGGGAAGAACAAACGUGUAAGUAACUGUGCACGUCUUGACGGUACCUAAUCAGAAAGCCACGGCUAACUACGUG